rnacentral:rRNA from 1 species
UGGGGAAUAUUGCACAAUGGGCGCAAGCCUGAUGCAGCAACGCCGCGUGAACGAUGAAGGUCUUCGGAUCGUAAAGUUCUGUUGCAGGGGAAGAUAAUGACGGUACCCUGUGAGGAAGCCCCGGCUAACUACGUGCCAGCAGCCGCGGUAAUACGUAGGGGGCUAGCGUUAUCCGGAUUUACUGGGCGUAAAGGGUGCGUAGGUGGUCUUUCAAGUCGGUGGUUAAAGGCUACGGCUCAACCGUAGUUAGCCUCCGAAACUGGAAGACUUGAGUGCAGGAGAGGAAAGUGGAAUUCCCUGUGUAGCGGUGAAAUGCGUAGAUAAUGGGAGGAACACCAGUAGCGAAGGCGGCUUUCUGGACUGCAACUGACACUGAGGCACGAAAGCGUGGGUAGCAAACAGG